GUCCCAUUCGGAUUGCAGGCUGCAACCCGCCUGCAUGAAGUUGGAAUCGCUAGUAAUCGCGGAUCAGCAUGCCGCGGUGAAUACGUUCCCGGGCCUUGUACACACCGCCCGUCACACCAUGAGAGUCGGGAACACCCGAAGUCCGUAGCCUAACCGCAAGGGGGGCGCGGCCGAAGGUGGGUUCGAUAAUUGGGGUGAAGUCGUAACAAGGUACC
rnacentral:rRNA from 1 species